AUUGAACGCUGGCGGCAGGCCUAACACAUGCAAGUCGAACGAGUGGCGGACGGGUGAGUAAUGUCUGGGAAACUGCCUGAUGGAGGGGGAUAACUACUGGAAACGGUAGCUAAUACCGCAUACCAUCAGAUGUGCCCAGAUGGGAUUGGCUUGUUGGGUGGGUAACGGCUCACCAAGGCGACGAUUCCUAGCUGGUCUGAGAGGAGGACCAGCCACACUGGAACUGAGACACGGUCCAGUCUCCGACGGGAGGCGGGAGUGGGGAAAAGUGCACAGUAGACGCAAGCCUGAUGCAGACAUGCCGCGUGUAUGGAGAAGGCAUUCGGGUUGUAAAGUACUUUCAGCGGGGAAGCGUUAACCGCAGAAGAAGCACCGGCUAACUCCGUGCCAGCAGCCGCGGUAAUAC
rnacentral:rRNA from 1 species